rnacentral:rRNA from 1 species
UAGGGAAUAUUGGGCAAUGGAGGGAACUCUGACCCAGCCAUGCCGCGUGCAGGAUGAAGGCGUUAUGCGUUGUAAACUGCUUUUAUAUAGGAAGAAAUAGUCCUUGCGAGGAAAGUUGACGGUACUAUAUGAAUAAGCACCGGCUAACUCCGUGCCAGCAGCCGCGGUAAUACGGAGGGUGCAAGCGUUGUCCGGAUUUAUUGGGUUUAAAGGGUGCGUAGGCGGUUUAUUAAGUCAGUGGUGAAAGACGGUCGCUCAACGAUUGCAGUGCCAUUGAUACUGGUAGACUUGAGUAUGAUUGAGGUAGCUGGAAUGGAUAGUGUAGCGGUGAAAUGCAUAGAUAUUAUCCAGAACACCAAUUGCGUAGGCAAGUUACUAAGUCAUAACUGACGCUGAGGCACGAAAGUGUAGGGUAUCAAACAGGAUUAGAUACCCAGUAGUCCCUGAGCGGGCUGGCAAGGCGCAU